UCUCACUCAUUGCUAUAUGCUCUUUCUUCCCCUUUACCUCACUUCUACUGUCCCUGACUGACAUAUGUUUCCUUCUGCCAUUACUGAAAACGCAGCCACUUUUGUAGAACUCUUCUUCUUUUUGAUAGACAGCAUUUAAUUCUUCAUUACAUCAGGUUCAGGCUUGAAACACAGAAUUGAAUACCAUGUUUUACAGCUUUGAGGCCGCCUUUUAGUUUGGGCAGCUGUGUUCAGCAGCAGAUUUGUGAUCAGACUUUAGUUUCUGUUUCCUGCCUGAAUGUGCUAAAAGCAAACCAGAAGGUGGACUUGCAUCUUGAAGGUGGCAAACUGUGCUCUCAUCCAAAAGAAGUAAGCACUUGUGCUUGAGGUUGGCACCUCAGCUAGGAUACGUCAGGGUGUUGGCUCUUGCCUUCCAUGCCACCUUCCCAAAGUGAUUGGCCUGGGAGCUCUAAGUCACCAAACUAGAAGGACCUCUCGACAAAGGCUACAUCUCAGAAGAUCUAUGGCAUAAGGAAAAGCAUACAAUAACACGCAGAUUUUGAGAACGCACAGGAAACUAUGGGGCAAGACUGCAAUGGAGGAGGGGAGAACGGUUGCCGGCGCUGAAACUUUCAAACCUCAGGUUUUGUCACUGCUUAAUACGUCUCUACUAACGACCCUUCUGGGGUGCCAGGCCUUGACAGGCAGGACCCAACGGGACCCGGCCUGGGCAGCCGGUGGCUCGGGGAUGCCCUGAAAGCAGGCAGGCGGUCCUCUCCCCCGGAGC